ensembl:lncRNA
CGGAAAGUCUACGUGGAGUCAAAUUUCAGAGUUGGAGCACUGAAUUGCAGUGAGUCACACAGAGAGCCUGAGAGCUGCCUUUGUUCCACUUGUGUCUGAACGUUGGAGGAGAAACAGCAGGCUCCAGUUUUCAUUAACUCAUUUGCAGAAGUGUAAAAUUCAUGUUCACUGAACAUUUUCCCCACUCUGAGGUCUUUCAACUGACUUUCAAACAAUGCUGUCAUGUCGUGCCUGGUGGACCUGGGAUGUGCUACUACUGUUCUUAGGCCUGUCGAUCCAUGCUUGUUCAGCAGCUCAGGUCAUAGAAGGUAUGGAAUCUCAAGAUAGGUUUAUGUUGAAAGAGACUCUGGAGGUCAUCUGGUCCAAUCCCCUGCUCAAAUAAAG